rnacentral:rRNA from 1 species
UACAGAGGCCUCGAGCGUUAGGCGGAAUCACUGGGCUUAAAGCGUGUGUAGGCGGAUCGUUAAGUACCUUGUGAAAUCCCACGGCUCAACCGUGGAACUGCUUGGUAUACUGGCGGUCUUGUGCAACCUAGGGGCGAGCGGAACAGAUGGUGGAGCGGUGAAAAUGCGUAGAUAUCUCUGGAACGCAAUGGUGAAAACAGCUCGCUGGG